GUCCCACCCGGAGUGUUCAGUGCUCUGAAUUGUUUGAUGAUGGGGCAAAAGAGAGUCAUGAUAUCUGCUACCAGAUAAAUAAAAAAGGAAAUAAAUUUGGAUACUGCAAAAACAAGGAAAACAAAUUUGUUCCCUGUGAAGAGAAAGAUGUACGAUGUGGAAAGAUAUACUGUAUUGGAGGACAACGCUCAUCUCUCCUUGGGGAAGACAAGACCUAUUACCUUAAGAAUUCACAGCAGAAUGUCACUAUCAAAUGCAAAACCAUUUUUUUACACCACAAUUCU